GACGAACGCUGGCGGCGUGCUUAACACAUGCAAGUCGAACGGAAAGGCCCUGCUUGCCGGGUACUCGAGUGGCGAACGGGUGAGUAACACGUGGGUGAUCUGCCCUGCACUUCGGGAUAAGCCUGGGAAGCUGGGUCUAAUACCGGAUAGGAGCCAUUUUUAGUGUGAUGGUUGGAAAGUUUUUUCGGUGUAGGAUGAGCUCGCGGCCUAUCAGCUUGUUGGUGGGGUAAUGGCCUACCAAGGCGGCGACGGGUAGCCGGCCUGAGAGGGUGGACGGCCACAUUGGGACUGAGAUACGGCCCAGACGCCGACGGGAGGCAGCAGUGGGGAAUAUUGCACAAUGGGCGCAAGCCUGAUGCAGCGACGCCGCGUGGGGGAUGACGGCCUUCGGGUUGUAAACUCCUUUCGCUAGGGACGAAGCUUUUUGUGACGGUACCUAGAUAAGAAGCACCGGCUAACUACGUG
rnacentral:rRNA from 1 species